ensembl:snRNA U6 U6 spliceosomal RNA
GUGCUCACUUUGGCAGCACAUAUAUUAAAAUUGGAACGAUAGAAAAAAUUAGCAUGGCCCCUGUGCAAGGAUGACACACAAAUUUGUGAAGCAUUCCGUAUUUUU